UCGAGGAUCUUCGGCAAUGGGCGCAAGCCUGACCGAGCGACGCCGCGUGUGCGAUGAAGGCCUUCGGGUUGUAAAGCACUGUCGAGGGGGAGGAAAGCCCGCAAGGGCCUGACCUAUCCCUGGAGGAAGCACGGGCUAAGUUCGUGCCAGCAGCCGCGGUAAGACGAACCGUGCGAACGUUGUUCGGAAUCACUGGGCUUAAAGGGCGCGUAGGCGGGCCCUCCAGUCAGGGGUGAAAUCUUCCGGCUCAACCGGAAAAGUGCCCCUGAUACUGAGGGUCUCGAGGGGUGUAGGGGCAUGUGGAACUUCCGGUGGAGCGGUGAAAUGCGUAGAUAUCGGAAGGAACGCCGGUGGCGAAAGCGACGUGCUGGACACCUUCUGACGCUGAGGCGCGAAAGCCAGGGGAGCAAACGGGGAUUAGAUACCCCCGGUAGUCCUGGCCCUAAACGAUGGGUACUAGAUUGUGGACCGGACAUGGGUUCACAGUCGAAGCAAAAGUGAUAAGUACCCCGCCUGGGGAGUAU
rnacentral:rRNA from 1 species